GACGAACGCUGGCGGCGUGCUUAACACAUGCAAGUCGAACGAUGAACCCGGAGCUUGCUCCGGCGGAUUAGUGGCGAACGGGUGAGUAACACGUGAGUAACCUGCCCUUGACUCUGGGAUAACUGCUAGAAAUGGUAGCUAAUACCGGAUACGACCCUCGGUGGCAUCACCAGGGGGUGGAAAGAAUUUCGGUCAAGGAUGGACUCGCGGCCUAUCAGCUAGUUGGUGAGGUAACGGCUCACCAAGGCGACGACGGGUAGCCGGCCUGAGAGGGUCACCGGCCACACUGGAACUAAGAUACGGCCCAGACUCCUACGGGAGGCAGCAGUGUGGAAUAUUGCACAAUGGGCGCAAGCCUGAUGCAGCGACGCCGCGUGAGGGAUGACGGCCUUCGGGUUGUAAACCUCUUUCAGCACCGACGAAGCGCAAGUGACGGUAGGUGCAGAAGAAGGACCGGCCAACUACGUGCCAGCCGCCGCGGUAA
rnacentral:rRNA from 1 species